rnacentral:lncRNA from 1 species
GGAAGGUGCAUGUUGUUGUGGUCUGGGAUGCUGCCAGGUAGCUCUAGGUCAAGAUCCACUGCAAGAUGCUAUGUGCUUGUAUGGGUACUUUCCUGCUGGACUGAGAGGAUGUUGCUGCCAGACAAGAGACUCAAAUUACCCUCAAAGAGCUGCUUCAAUUUUCUUAUCCUUCAGAGCUUCCCAGACCCAGGAUCAGCGCAGGCAGUGAGUGAAAUUGCUUGCAAAUAG